rnacentral:rRNA from 1 species
AUGGAGAAUGACCUGGGGCUCACACAGGAGAGUGAUAUUGUUUACUGGGGGCUGAAUAAAACAACUCGAUAUACUACUAAAUUGAUGUACAGGUGGUUGGAGAAACCCCUUAGUGGGUGUAAUUUCAAAUGGAUUUGGGAGGCAAAACUUCCUCUCAAAAUCCAAAUUUUCCUAUGGCAGAUGUUCCAGAAUGCCAUUCUUACCAGGCAGGUGAUGAGAUAUUGCCGUUGGCCUGGUAAUCCGACUUGUUCCUUCUGUCGGGAGAUAGAAACAACACAACAUCUCUUCUUUGGUUGCUCGGUUGCCAAAAUAGUAUGGAGAGCGUGUUGGAAAUAUGCCCUAGAGGCAAUAAUAAAAUGGUUAUUAUUAUAUUUCCUUGUUCAUGAUAAUUGUCUAUUGUUCAUGCUAUAA